rnacentral:rRNA from 1 species
CGUAGGCAGCGAGCGUUGUUCGGAGUUACUGGGCGUAAAGCGUGCGUAGGCGGUGGUCCAAGUCUGGUGUGAAAUCUCCCGGCUCAACUGGGAGGGUGCGCCGGAAACUGGGCCGCUGGAGUACGGGAGAGGCAAGCGGAAUUCCAGGUGUAGCGGUGAAAUGCGUAGAUAUCUGGAGGAACACCCGUGGUGCAGACGGCUUGCUGGACCGUGACUGACGCUGAGGCACGAAAGCGUGGGUAGCAAACAGGAUUAGAUACCCUGGUAGUCCACGCCCUAAACGAUGCAUACUUGGUGUGGGCAGUUCAGUCUGUCCGUGCCGAAGCUAACGCGAUAAGUAUGCCGCCUGGGGAGUACGGUCGCAAGGCUG